GGGACUAUAGUUAAUAAUAACAUUUGAGUUGCAUUCAAAAAGUACUACCCUCAGUAGUUAGCCUCA
rnacentral:tRNA from 1 species